rnacentral:rRNA from 1 species
AGCUCCAAUAGCGUAUAUUAAAGUUGUUGCAGUUAAAAAGCUCGUAGUUGGAUUUCUGGGAGGGUGCCAAAGGCGGUGCCGCGAGUACCGUCCUGCGGUCGCCCUUCCAUCCUUCUGUUAACGAUCCUUGGUAUUCAGUUACUGGGUUUCGGGCUCAGAUAUUUUACCUUGAGAAAAUUAGAGUGUUUCAGGCAGGCUUGCGCCGGAAUACAUUAGCAUGGAAUAAUAGAAUAGGACUUUAGUCUCUUUUGUUGGUUUGAGGGGCUAGAGUAAUGAUUAAUAGGGAUAGUUGGGGGCAUUAGUAUUUAAUUGUCAGAGGUGAAAUUCUCGGAUUUGUUAAAGACUAACUUAUGCGAAAGCAUUUGCCAAGGAUGUUUUCAUUAAUCAAGAACGAAAGUAC